GCCUGGAUGGCUCAGUUGGUUAAGCAUCUGACUCUUGAUCAUGAUCUCACGGUUUGUGGGAUCGAGCCCCAUAUCGGGCU
rnacentral:tRNA from 1 species